AAUUUUGGACAAUGGGGGAAACCCUGAUCCAGCCAUCACGCGUGUAUGAUGAGGGCCUUCGGGUUGUAGAGUACUUUUGGCAGAGACGAAAAGGUAUCUCCUAAUACGAGAUACUGCUGACGGUACCUGCAGAAGAAGCACCGGCUUACUACGUGCCAGCAGCCGCGGUAAUACGUAGGGUGCAAGCGUUAAUCGGAAUUACUGGGAGUAAAGCGUGUGUAGGCGGUUCGGAAAGAAAGAUUUGAAAUCCCAGGGCUAAACCUUGGAACUGCAUUUUUAACUGCCGAGCUAGAGUAUGUCAGAGGGGGGUAGAAUUCCACGUGUAGCAGUGAAAUGCGUAGAUAUGUGGAGGAAUACCGAUGGCGAAGGCAGCCCCCUGGGAUAAUACUGACGCUCAGACACGAAAGCGUGGGGAGCAAACA
rnacentral:rRNA from 1 species